rnacentral:rRNA from 1 species
AUUGAACGCUGGCGGCAUGCCUUACACAUGCAAGUCGAACGGCAGCACGGGUGCUUGCACCUGGUGGCGAGUGGCGAACGGGUGAGUAAUACAUCGGAACGUACCUUAUCGUGGGGGAUAACGCAGCGAAAGUUGCGCUAAUACCGCAUACGCCCUGAGGGGGAAAGCGGGGGACCGUAAGGCCUCGCGCGAUUAGAGCGGCCGAUGUCUGAUUAGCUUGUUGGCGAGGUAAAAGCUCACCAAGGCGAUGAUCAGUAGCUGGUCUGAGAGGACGAUCAGCCACACUGGGACUGAGACACGGCCCAGACUCCUACGGGAGGCAGCAGUGGGGAAUUUUGGACAAUGGGGGCAACCCUGAUCCAGCAAUGCCGCGUGAGUGAAGAAGACCUUCGGGUUGUAAAGCUCUUUUGUCAGGGAAGAAACAGCAGCUCUAACACAGUCUGCGAAUGACGGUACCUGAAGAAUAAGCACCGGCUAACUACGUGCCAGCCGCCGCGGUAA